AAAAAAGGGAGUCUGGAAGAAAUGAAAGCCAUGAGCAACGACUGCAAAGCAAACCAAAUUUCUAGCCAUUUAAAAACACACAGCCUGGCAAGGAAUCACUGCAGUCACGAUAAAAACUAUUCUCCCAUUGGAGUGGAAGCUCCUUCCGGCAGAGAACAGCUUCUGCAUAGUGGCGGCAGUCGAAGGGAAGGAUGAUGGAGUCUGCCAAUUGGAAGACCAACCCUCCUCGAACCUGGGCCACCGUGAGUCCAUUGAUUUGCUGAGAGAGCAGGGAUUCAGCUACGGACACGAAGGAAUAACUUUCUUACUAACUUCUGAAGAUUUAACAACAUGAGACAUGGAAGCAUUUUCGCACCAUUAAUACUGUAGGGGAAAAGCCCCCAAAUUUGCAAUGUAGAGCAUACUCUGUCAAUUCCCAGGAAGACAUGUAUUUACCAAGGAACGCCGAUGAAUUCAUCUGAAGGAUUUUUCUCGUACCAGCUUUCAAAGAGAGAUUUAUCUUCAAAACCUUCAUCAGGGCUUGGGAGCUGCAGGACAUUUCCAACGGAUAAAGAUCAGAUUGGUUUCGCACUCUGACAGUGGGAACAACAAUGAAAGUCAGAACUCAGCCAAUUUCACCCAAGAAAUCCUACGUUUCGCUUCGCUGCUAGUCACAGGACACUCUUGACGGGAAAACUGGUUGGAAACAAGAAUGUUUAAAGUGUUUAUAGCAGGGUCACAUCCACACACACACCCCCUUCUAGAAAUGUUGUUUAUUGGGGCCACGCUGAAAUUAAGUGUGGGACGGGGACUGUGUCUGACCUGACUUAAUUCUAUCUAUCGUUCAGUGCAGCGGGUAACAUAAACCACAGUUAUUACGAUUAUGAUGAUUGUCACAACUUUUCUUUGCUUCAGUUUUCUCACCUGUAAAAUUCUUUUAUUAUCUCUGUGGGCCUGGUGGGACCAGGACUGUCUUUGAUCUGAUUAUCUGUACCAUGUACCUGAUUAUCUUGUAUCUUGG